rnacentral:lncRNA from 1 species
AUCCGCCCACCUCGGCCUCCCAAAGUGCUGGGAUUACAGGCAUGAGCCACCAUGCUCGGCCUUGAAAGAUAUUUCUAAUAUAACCAAGGCCUAAACAUGUAGAGAUUAAAGGGAACACUUAAGGCAUUGACUAUUGUUUUAUUUCUUUAGCAAAAUGAGAGCAAACAACUGCUUCCUUUUUAGAAAGCACUCCCCACAUAUAACAACAAUUUGUUCUCUCUGGAGGGCCCGGAUCUAUGACCUUACUAACAUCCAGCGAUCCCAAAUCCAAGUGCCUGUGGUACCAGGCAGAUAAGGUAAAGAAGUGAAGCAGGCCAAGUGAGACUGCAGUGGUCUGGUGCUACCAUUCCCAUCUGGAGGAGCAUCUGAUUCUAAACCCCACCCAAUUUGUGCCAUGCGGGUUGCUGGCCCAGUGUUUCCAGAACUUCCAGUUUUUCAAGAGAUGUUCCAUAUCCCAGUUUUUAAAUGUCAGAUCAUAUUAUGAAUGCUAGGCCAGCGAAAUAAAACAUCUGUGGAGCAAAGCAAUCCACAUGUUGCCAUUUUGUGACCUUGGCCACAGCUUACUCUUGCCAUCUAUUGCAAUGUACUGGUUUACAUUCCCACUUAAAGUGUACAUUUCAUUGAACUUGCCUAGGGAAUGUACCUAUUAGGUUAAAUAUCCAUUAUCUCUGUGUGAGGUUUCCUUAAGGGGCUAACCAUAAAGCUUUAUUAUGUGAUACCUCCUUUCCUUUGGAACAAUUAAAAAGAGUGCAAAGAAAUGUGUGCUCCUAUUUAAAUAUAUAGGAUUUUUUCCCAGCCUGUGUCCUGCAGCUUCACCGCUAAAGCCUU